UGAAUACGAGACGCUAAGGCGUCGAAGUAGUGUAUGUCAUACUUCCAAGAAAAGCUUGCACUGUCAUAGAUAAAAAACGCCUGUACCAUAACCGACACAGGUGGGUAGGUAGAGUAUACUAAGGGGCGCGAGAUAACUCUCUCUAAGGAACUCGGCAAAAUAACUCCGUAACUUCGGGAGAAGGAGUGCCUUAUUCGUAAGGUUGCAAUAACAAGAUCCAAGCAACUGUUUAUCAAAAACACAGGUCUCCGCUAAGUCGUAAGACGAUGUAUGGGGGCUGACGCCUGCCCAGUGCCAGAAGGUUAAAGAAGUUGGUUAGCAAUUGCGAAGCUGAUAACUGAAGCCCUGGUGAACGGCGGCCGUAACAAUAACGGUCCUAAGGUAGCGAAAUUCCUUGUCGGGUAAGUUCCGACCCGCACGAAAGGCGUAAUGAUUUGGAUACUGUCUCGGAGUGGGGCUCGGUGAAAUAGACUUGUCUGUGAAGAUGCGGACUACCUGCACCAGGACAGAAAGACCCUAUGAAGCUUUACUGUAACUUGAAAUUGAAAUUGGACUUUAUUCGCGCAGUAUAGGUGGGAGGCGUUGAUUAUAAUCUUGUGGGAUUAUUGGAGCCAUCAGUGAGAUACCACUCUUGUAAUGUUAGAUUUCUAACUUUGAAUCAUUAUCUGGUCAAAGAACAGUUUCAGGCGGGCAGUUUGACUGGGGCGGUCGCCUCCUAAACGGUAACGGAGGCGUACAAAGGUUUCCUCUGAACGGUUAGAAAUCGUAUCUAGAGUGUAAAGGCAUAAGGAAGCUUGACUGUGAGACCUACAAGUCGAGCAGGGACGAAAGUCGGUCUUAGUGAUCUGACGGUACUGAGUGGAAAGGCCGUCACUCAACGGAUAAAAGUUACUCUAGGAUAACAGGCUGAUCUCCCCCAAGAGUUCACAUCGACGGGGAGGUUUGGCACCUCGAUGUCGGCUCAUCGCAUCCUGGGGCGGUAGUACGUCCCAGGGGUUGGGCUGUUCGCCCAUGAAAGCGGUACGCGAGCUGGGUUCAGAACGUCGUGAGACAGUUCGGUCCAUAUCCGGUGUAGGCGUUAGAAUAUUGAGAGGAGCCUUCUUUAGUACGAGAGGACCGAGAAGGACAUACCUCUGGUGUACCAGUUAUCGUGCCAACGGUAAACGCUGGGUAGCUAUGUAUGGAGUGGAUAACCGCUGAAAGCAUCUAAGUGGUAAGCCCACCUCAAGAUAAGUAUUCUCAUC
rnacentral:rRNA from 1 species